CAUUAGCUCAGUUGGUAGAGCAUCUGACUUUUAAUCAGAGGGUCGCAGGUUCGAGCCCUGCAUG
rnacentral:tRNA from 1 species